UCAAGUAAACUCCAUCUCUCACCUUCGAACCCACGUCUCUCUGCAAACUCUGCUCAUUUGAAACCUGCCGCCCACCAUUUCCCCAUUACUUCGAGUUCACGUCAAAAUUCAUCUCAAAUUCUCCCCAAAUCCAAAUCACCAACUCCCUCACCAAAAAUUUGAUCCCCAAAAGAUAAUAAUUUUUUGUAAUUUUCUCGAAUUAUCAGCCGCAUUGCUCGAUCGGAAUCCGGAAAAGCUCGAAGCUUUCAGCCCCCAGUUCGAUCCUGAAACGAUGUCGUUUGAGGACGAGGAGGAGGCGUUCGAGCACACGCUACUCGUGGUCCGGGAGGUCGCAGUCUUCAAAAUCCCGCCGCGGAGCACUUCCGGCGGAUACAAGUGCGGCGAGUGGCUCCAGUCCGAUAAGAUCUGGUCGGGUCGGCUCCGGGUCGUGUCGUGCAAGGACCGGUGCGAGAUCCGGCUGGAGGAUCCGAACUCCAGCGAGCUCUUCGCCGCCUGCUUUGUCUACCCGGGCCAGCGCGAGACCUCCGUUGAGACCGUCCUCGACUCGUCGCGCUACUUCGUGCUCAAGAUCGAGGACGGCACCGGGAAGCACGCCUUCAUCGGGCUAGGGUUCGCGGAGCGGAACGAAGCGUUCGAUUUCAACGUGGCGCUUUCGGACCACGAGAAGUACGUGAAGAGGGAGCACGAGAAGGAGAGCAACGGCGGCGAAACCAGCGACGAGGGCCACAUCGAUAUUCAUCCCGCCCUCAAUCACAGAUUGAAAGAAGGUGAGACGAUAAGGAUAAAUGUGAAGCCGAAGCCGACGAGUGGGGCCGGGAUGUUGUCCGCUGCCGGGCUAUCCGGGACGGCAAAGGCAAAACCGAUUAGUUUGGGGUUGGCUCCGCCACCCGGGUCCGGGAAAGUUAGGUCGGCUCUGCCACCACCUCCCAAUGACCCUGUUGCUGCUAGAAUCAGCUCUGGUGGUGUCAAGUCGCCGGAUAACACAAGACGUGGAUCCGACCCAUUAUCGGAUCUUUCCCAGAUUGAGGCCUUACCAGCCCUUCAAAUCCUGAUUGACCCGAAAAGUUGGUUCCGAGUCCCAUUCUGAGAACAGCAAGCUCUGAAUGAGUAGCUCGCCAACAUGAGUUUAUGUCCACACCUUAUUGUCAAGUGCGUUCAAAGUUUGAACAUGUAGGAAGUGAUUGCAAUCAGAAAGCUUAGUUCUAGCAAAUUUGGUAUUGUUUUUCCUUUUGUUUCAGCUGGUUUCUUCUGCGUCCUUUGUUUUUAUGUCGAUCGAUGCAUUUCUUCAGACACAAAGGAAAAAGAUGCAAACUCUAGGAAUCUUCCCCCCACGACCGGAUCAGGCUCGACAAAGACAAGUGCAGCAGGAUGGGCGGCUUUCUGAUUGUGUGAGCAUCUGUUAUUAUCACCGAGGUCUUCAUUUGAUUUUUUUUUACUUUUUUUGAGGAAAAAAAAGUGAGAAGAAGGAAUAUGUGAGAAAAGAAAGAAAGCGAGGUACCAAAUACUUCCAUAUGUGUGUUUCCCCGCAAUAUAUUUUCGAGCUUCUUUUGUUCAUUGUGCCGGCUCUUUGUCAACUUACAGUUUCAUGUUUUUGCUUCUAUAUAAUAGAGAAAUGUGCCUUAUCUAUUUCAUUUGCUA